ensembl:lncRNA
AGGACAAAGGCACCUCAGUGUGAAUGAAUGGGACAUCACUAUGAAUCACCAUAGGGCUCUGGAGAAAAGUAGUGCACUAUUUAGGGAAAAGGGUGCCAUUUGGGACAAUACCCUAGAUAUAAAAGCAGGAAGAUGAGGUUACUGGGACUGUAGUGGAGGUUACUGGGACUGUACUGUUAGUGGAGGUUACUGGGACUGUAGUGGGGGUUACUGGGACUGUACUGUUAGUGGAGGUUACUGGGACUGUACUGUUAGUGGAGGUUACUGGGACUGUAGAGGAGGUUACUGGGACUGUAGUGGAGGUUACUGGGACUGUACUGUUAGUGGAGGUUACUGGGACUGUAGUGGAGGUUACUGGGACUGUAGUGGAGGUUACUGGGACUGUAGUGGAGGUUACUGGGACUGUACUGUUAGUGGAGGUUACUGGGACUGUAGUGGAGGUUACUGGGACUGUAGUGGACGUUACUGGGACUGUAGUGGAGGUUACUGGGACUGUAGUGUAGGUUACUGGGACUGUACUGUUAGUGGAGAUUACUGGGACUGUAGUGGAGGUUACUGGGACUGUACUGUUAGUGGAGGUUACUGGGACUGUAGUGGAGGUUACUGGGACUGUACUGCUACUCAACAGAGUUCUAGAGGUUGUGAGUAGGCUUGCUUUCCAUAUACUGCUCAAUAUCCAGAUAAGAGACUAGAUUACAGGCGUAUGCAUGUUAAGAUGAGAGUUUCCACAACCAAUAGCCAACUCAUGUGGAUAAUGCACACAGACAGUUAUGCUUGGGGUGAGUUGGCUCCACAACGCCCUCUGGUGGUAGGAUUAUAUGCCCAGCACUCAAUAAAGCUGUCUACCUUUACCACAGGUGUCAGACUCGUUCCAUUAUAUGUCUAUGGGCCGAGUGUCUGUGGGUUUUUGCUCCUCGUUUGUACUUGAGUGAUCGAGUAAGGUCACUGAUUAGUUAGGAACACCCCUCCUCACCUGGUUGUCUAGGUCUUCAUUGGUUAGUUAGGAACUCCCCUCACCUGGUUGUCUAGGUCUUAAUUGGUUAGGAACUCCCCUCACCUGGUUAUCUAGGUCUUAAUUGGUUAGGAACUCCCCUCACCUGGUUGUCUAGGUCUUAAUUGGUUAGGAACUCCCCUCACCUGGUUGUCUAGGUCUUAAUUGGUUAGGAACUCCCCUCACCUGGUUGUCUCCCUCUUAAUUGGUCUUAAAAACCAGCAGACACUGGGCCAUGGAAUGAGUGACACCCCUGACCCCUGGUAUCCAUACAACCCUAGUCUCAUGGGACCAUCCUUCCAAAUCUGACCCCUGGUAUCCAUACAACCCUAGUCUCAUGGGACAAUCCUUCCAAAUCUGACCCCUGGUGUCCAUACAACCCUAGUAUCAUGGGACCAUCCUUCCAAAUCUGACCCCUGGUGUCCAUACAACCCUAGUAUCAUGGGACCAUCCUUCCAAAUCUGACCCCUGGUGUCCAUACAACCCUAGUAUCAUGGGACAAUCCUUCCAAAUCUGACCCCUGGUGUCCAUACAACCCUAGUAUCAUGGGACCAUCCUUCCAAAUCUGACCCCUGGUGUCCAUACAACCCUAGUCUCAUGGGACCAUCCUUCCAAAUCUGACCCCUGGUGUCCAUACAACCCUAGUCUCAUGGGACCAUCCUUCCAAAUCUGACCCCUGGUAUCCAUACAACCCUAGUAUCAUGGGACUUCCAAAUCUGGUCUCAUUGACUGAGUGAAGACGGGGUCUCUGGGGGGUACACUGUCCCCAAACAUCUAAAAGUGACAAGUAAUAUGAAUCUCUCCCAAGUUACACAGGCUCCCUAGAGUUACUCAAUUUCCUCAUCUCAAACUCAAACACCAAAUCCUCCAAAACAAAGGGAUGGAUCCUCUCAAACACCAAAUCCUCCAAAACAAAGGGAUGGAUCCUCUCAAACACCAAAUCCUCCAAAACAAAGAGAUGGAUCCUCUCAAACACCAAAUCCUCCAAAACAAAGAGAUGGAUCCUCUCAAACACCAAAUCCUCCAAAACAAAGAGAUGGAUCCUCUCA